rnacentral:rRNA from 1 species
UGAAACUUUUUUUUUUAAUUGGGGCGAUUUAACUAAAUAUUAAAAACUUUUUUAAAAAAAAAUAUGAACCGUUAUUAACGGAUACUUGGAAAAAAUACUCUAGGGAUAACAGCGUAAUAAUUUUUGAUAGUUCUUAUAGACAAAAUAGUUUGCGACCUCGAUGUUGGAUUAGGAUAUUUUUUUA